rnacentral:rRNA from 1 species
GACGAACGCUGGCGGCGUGCUUAACACAUGCAAGUCGAACGGAAAGGCCUCUUUCGGGGGGUACUCGAGUGGCGAGCGGGUGAGUAACACGUGAGUAACCUGCCCUUGACUUUGGGAUAACUUCAGGAAACUGGGGCUAAUACCGGAUAGGAGCUCCUGCUGCAUGGUGGGGGUUGGAAAGUUUCGGCGGUUGGGGAUGGACUCGCGGCUUAUCAGCUUGUUGGUGGGGUAGUGGCUUACCAAGGCUUUGACGGGUAGCCGGCCUGAGAGGGUGACCGGCCACAUUGGGACUGAGAUACGGCCCAGACUCCUACGGGAGACAGCAGUGGGGAAUAUUGCACAAUGGGUGGAAGCCUGAUGCAGCAACGCCGUGUGCGGGAUGACGGCCUUCGGGUUGUAAACCGCUUUCGCUCAUGACGAAGCUUUGUGUGACGGUAGUGGGUAAAGAAGCACCGGCUAACUACGUG